AUGGCUUUCUGGAAAAGUGGCAUUCUGAUCAUAAUUAUAUAUAUCAAGGGAUGUGAUUCUCAGGAUAAAGUUGAUCAGCACACAAAAACUCAAUCUGCUUUUGAAGGUGAUACUGUAACCAUUGACUGCACAUAUCAGACUUCUUAUACAGGCUCGACUCUAUUCUGGUAUCAGCAGAAAGUCAAUGGAGUCCCAAAAUACAUGCUGAAUAAAAUCACUAACACAUCUGGACACACUGAGGAAGAAUUCAAGGAGAGAUUUCAUGCAGCUCUCAGCAAAACUUCAGUUCCUCUGACAGUCAAGGAUGUGCGAGUGUCAGACUCUGCUGUGUAUUACUGUGCUCUGAGGUCCACAGAGAGCAGAAACACAAGGAUCAUCAACAGUUUCAUCAAACACAAAGCAGGAAGUUCAAUCAGUGUGUUUGUGAGUGAAGCUACAGAGACUACUACAGUAACACAGAUCUACAACUCAGAGAACAUCUAUACACACCUGAUCUGA